UACGUAGGUCCCGAGCGUUGUCCGGAUUUAUUGGGCGUAAAGGGAACGCAGGCGGUCUUUUAAGUCUGAUGUGAAAGCCUUCGGCUUAACCGGAGUAGUGCAUUGGAAACUGGGAGACUUGAGUGCAGAGGAGGAGAGUGGAACUCCAUGUGUAGCGGUGAAAUGCGUAGAUAUAUGGAAGAACACCAGUGGCGAAAGCGGCUCUCUGGUCUGUAACUGACGCUGAGGUUCGAAAGCGUGGGUAGCAAACAGG
rnacentral:rRNA from 1 species